UCUAAUUAGUAAUUUCCUUCUUUCCAUCUUCAGAACCAAGUUAUUGCGAACAUUUGAUUUGAUAACAUGGCAAGUGAAAUGGCAGGUCGGAACUUCCGGCUGAGGGGCCGGCGGCCGGGAAGAAGCCUCCGGGCAGGCUGCAGAGGAAGUGGACGUUUUGGUUUGACAGCCAGUCGAAGCAAAGCAGGGCGUGACGCAGGGAACUUCACUUCGCAAAUUCUACACUUUCGGAACCGUAGAAGAAUUCAGGUGGUUUAGCGAAUAAGAAAAAUCAGCAUACACCAAUUGCCUGUCGCUUAUGUGAUGAAAUUUUCUUUGACAACAAAAGGCUUGUAAACCACUUCCAGUCUCAUUUUCAUCGAGAUGGAACUUUUAAUCCAAGAUCACUGGUUGGAAGCUCUGUGUCACCGGAGAAUGGUAUAAAAUUCUAUCAGGGUCCUUCGCAAUAUAAUCAUUCUUUGUCAGCGCCAGUGGAUGUUUGUAACUCAAUUGCAAAUGGUCACCUAGGGCCAUGUGCUUGGCAAAACAUUCCCCAAAACCCAGCAAGUGUAUUUCUGGGUAAGUAUCAGGUUUCACCAAUGUCAAAAGAUUCAACCAGAAUGAGUGGGCCUACCUUGACCCAUGGGUCUCAUUCCUAUCCAUCACCAUCAAUUUUCUGCUCAUCCAUAGGCCCUGGUGCAUUUGCCUCGCCACUUAACCAGUCCUCGAACUUCCAUUCGAGAUUUGCCUCCCAGACUACUGGACCACAAAACUUUCGUUCUACUGUAAGGCCUAUAUCACCUGGUGUCUUUACUUCACGAGCUACCCAGAUCUCCAACUUCCAUUUCCCUAUGAAUCCUGGUACAUCUGCUUCACAACUUAUCCAGCAAUCAAGCUUCGAUUCACCCAACAAAGGUGCCUGUGCUUCAGAAUCUGUUGCAGGUACCAGUUGUCUUGCUCUUGAUGCAACAACCAGUUAUCUCCCUCAAACAGCUGUGGAAAAUCAGGUUGAGGGUCCUUUCAAUGGCUAUACAAAGCCAUAUAUCAUGGAACUAGAACAGCCCAUUGAAGAGAUGAGGGGCCAUACUGACGUGGGUGGUAAUAGCAACCUUGAUGAGAUGGAUCUCACCUUGAAACUUUAAUAACUGUCAUUUGUAUUUCUAGUGGAUAAUAAAUGGACUUGAGAGUGUCUUAGUUUGAAUAUUUCUUCGUUUUCUUCUUAACAUCAUGACAUUCAGAUGUUUGCUUAUCUAAUUAUUUAUUAUUGAGUUCUCCGUGAACAAGGACUCUUUUGAAAGGUUUAAUGUCCACUAGAUUUUUGGACACAUAAUAAAGUGAUUACUUUAGCACAUUUAUGGAUUUUCCACCCAAAGGAAAUGCACAUAGUUCUUUUACUCUCUAUGCGUACGCAUAGUCUAUUAUUUAUCUCCGUUCUUAUUUCAUUGCAGUAAGCCCAAGCUCCACCGUAGAGCAUCUAUUAUUUAUCAUCACAUGUUUUUUAUCACACGACUGAACAUCUUAGAUUGGUUUAUCUCUCUUAGUUAGGUGUGUUAAAUGUUGUCUGGAUUUUCUAUUAACUUAUACAAUACAAGUCUGACAAUGAUGGCAGCUUCAUUCUCCUAUCUUCACUGUUUUAUUCUUUUAUCUAUGUUAAUAACCCUUCUGUAGGACUUCAUCUGAGUACCGGAUUCUACUCUCUAUGAUGAUAUUCAAAAUAUUAACCUGAAUAAGAAAAUUUUCCAUCAUUUUUUGGAAUAUUUACUUGUUUCGUGAAGCUUUCUGCCAAUAUUAGAGCAACAGUCUCUUACAUAAGAAUUUAGGAUAGAUUUUGAAAUGUUGGGUUUAUAUAUCCUUCAUUUCAAAUGUCACCUUUACAUCUGUUCUUUCCUCUCUGGAAAAGGGAAUCCACUUGAUGAAGGAUGUGUGUUAAGGCCUUAAUUUCCAUGUUACUCUUAUUUCUUUGUUGAACAGCAAGACAAAGGAACUAAAAGUGCAUCUUUAAGUUUAAAUGCUCUUCAAAAAACUAAAUCCCUUUGUUCAGUAAUAUAAGCACAGAAACAAAAAUAGGGUUACUGCGAGUUACUUGGAACAGCUCCUUAUUGCUUUUCCUGAAUGCUUAGAUUGAUCGAGUAGGUUAGUAGACAGUUGAUUUGUCAUACUCUUUCUUACUGGAACUAUAGGGAACUAGUAACUACAGUAAAUGGUAUAAAGCUGUCAUUACACGUGAAGGAAGAUGGUUCUCUUGCAGUUAUACUUUUACCGCCAGGUUUCCAGACCCAACAACUAGCCAGGAAAUGCUGACUUCCACUUAUUCAGAGCUGAGUGGAGCACCCAAGUUUUCUGAUGGGGGCAAGUAGGCUGUUACUAGAAGCCGAAAGGCUGAUCUGGAUAACUCGCGGCCUGAAAUGACAAGAAAACUUUACAUCUUCUGUCCUUGUUCCUAAGUGUCUGAAUCUUGAUAAAUGAGUACUAAGGGCUUCCCCUUGUGAUAAUUUCAGGUGGAAAAGACCAGCAAAAAGUCGAGACAGUCACCACUGAAGAAUGCAGCUGGACUAAUGAGUCAAAACAUUCAUCUCAGAUUACAAGGGAACUCAGCUGAAGAAGAGCAAUGGCUUUUCCUCUAAGCUGGUUGAACCUCUUCUUCCCAAUAAUAUUACGCGUGACAACAACAAGUGGAGCAAAAACACCCUUUCCUUCAUUAACAUUCUUCAUCAUCGGCUGU